AUGCCCGUCAUCAUCGUAACAGUAGCCCCGCUUGUGAGUUCAGAAGCAAAGAAGAAGGGUUCUUCUCGAUGGCAAAGGUGUUUCAAGUGGAGCGAGUACUGCUUUGAAAGAAGCAAUGAUUUGGAACUGAGAGUUCUGGAUGAAUGCCUGUUGUUGGGUGUGCUGAAUAAACGAGCCCUGUACAAAGAGGUCCAGAGUCUAAAGAGACAUAAGUAUCCCUCUACUGGCGGGAUUUUGUCUCACAGAAAGUUCUCCACUCCCAGACAUGGGUUCCUCGGCUUCCUGCCUUGGAGGCGCAGCAGCAGGCAUCGUGGGAAGGUGAAGAGCUUCCUUAAGGAUGUCCUGUCCAAGUCGGUCCACCUCACAGCCUUCCUGGGAUACAAGGCUGGGAUGACCCACAUCGAGCGGGAAGUCGACAAGCCAGGAUCCAAGGUGAACAAGAAGGAGGUGGUGGAGGCUGUGACCAUUGUGGAGACGCCACCCAUGGUGGUUGUGGGCAUUGUGGGCUACGUGGAAACCCCUCGUGGCACGCGCUGGGCAGAAAGGCUACCAUCACUGCACUGAGAUCAGCAAGAACAUCUAUAAGAUUGGCCAGGGCUACCUUAUCAAGGACGACAAGCUGAUCAAGAACAAUGCCUCCACUGACUAUGACCUGUCUGACAAGAGCAUCAACCCUCUGGGUGGUUUUGUCCACUAUGGUGAAGUGACCAAUGACUUUGUCAUGCUGAAAAGCUGUGUGGUGGGAACUAAGAAGCGGGUGCUUACCCUCCGCAAGUCCUUGCUGGUGGAGACGAAGCAAUGAGCUCUGGAGAAGAUUGACCUUAAGUUCAUUGACACCACCUCCAAGUUUGGCCAUGGCCGCUUCCAGACCAUGGAGGAGAAGAAAGCAUUCAUAGGACCACUCAAGAAAGACCAAAUUGCAAAGAAAGAAGGAGCUUAAUGCCAGGAACAGAUUUUGUAGCUGGUGGGGUCUCAAUAAAAGUUACUUUCCACUG